CCACCAUCCCUCUUCGCACCUGCCUCCUCUCUCCUCUAGCGCAUGGAGGGGAUAACUGAUGGCUACUUCCCCCUCCCCUCCUAGCCUUGCGGGCAUACGUGGUUCACCCGUCCGAUACUGCACGGCCUCUGCACCCUGGGGUUCGCGGCCCGGGCGGUAAUCAAGUCGUUCUGCAACGGGGAUCCAACGGCUGUGCAGAACAUAUUUGGCGGGUUCCUGCUGCAUGUCUACCCCGACGAAACGCUGGUCACCGAGAUGUGGGUCGAUGGCUAGAGGGUGCAGUACCAGACCAAGGUGAAAGAGCGCGACCGCGCCGUGCUCUCCGGAUACGUGUUGCUCAAACAACACAUCCCCUCAUCAUUGUGAUCGUUGGUGUUGCCGCUGUUGUUGUCAUGGGAUCAGUGCCUCACCACUUCAAUGUCAUGAUUCUUGGCCCAAGGCAGCCUCUGUAUGGAGGUGUCCAUUGUAUUGUUGGGAUAGUAGCAAAUGUGACAUUGUUCUAUUGUGUAAUUCUGUCCGUUCUUGCUAUAUUCCUGUGUAAAGAAAUGUAUUCAAGAGAUGAGUUAUUGUGUUAUGUAAA